GACGAACGCUGGCGGCGUGCUUAACACAUGCAAGUCGAACGGAACGGCCCCGCUUUUGUGGGGUGCUCGAGUGGCGAACGGGUGAGUAACAAGGGAGUAACCUGCCCUCGACUUUGGGAUAACUUCAGGAAACUGGGGCUAAUACCGGAUAGGAGCUGCUGCUGCAUGGGGGGGGGGGGAAAGUUUCGGCGGCUGGGGGUGGAUUCGCGGGUUAUCAGCUUGUUGGUGGGGUAGUGGCUUGCGAAGGCGUUGACGGGUAGCCGGGCUGAGAGGGUGACCGGCCACAUUGGGACUGCGAGACGGCCCAGACUGCUGCGGGAGGCAGAAGUGGGGAAUAUUGCACAUGGGGCGGAGGCCUGAGGCAGCAGCGCCGCGUGCGGGAUGACGGCCUUCGGGUUGUAGACCGCUUUCGCCUGUGACGAAGCGGGGGUGACGGUAAUGGGUAAAGAAGCACCGGCUAACUACGUG
rnacentral:rRNA from 1 species